ACACCUGUCCCUCGUUACACACAUAGCAUAUAAGCACUUCACUCGCUCCGCUCCAGUGUCCGUUAUUGUCUUUGUUGGACUCUGUGUGUUUGCUCUGCGACAGUUUGUGCAUUAAACUCUGUUUGCUGGUGACUUGGCUUCCGCCUCAUUCACUCCCGCCUAACACUGCAAUAUCUUGAUGCUGAUUUUAAAGAUUUCUUAAUUCUUACCUCAACUGUGGAUCUCCAAGACAAAGGAACAGUGAAAGUGAUGUGAGAAAGUGCAGCAAAUCUACGACCACAUGAUGUCUGAUCUGUUUCAUCUGCGAACCCUGUUAUUCUCUCAUCAACUUUAUCCCAGACACCUUCUUACUUGUUGGUUUCUCCAACACCAUCAGAUUUUCCUUUUGUCUCAUCUUCUAAACCCAGGUCUUCAUCUGCCAAGCUGAGGAAGGAAACAUGGUCACUUAAUUUUCCAAUCCCUAAAUUUUCCUAUGAGGUAGAGCUGGAACUACAGAAAGCCAAAGAAGACUUCUUGAACAAUGACAUUUAUGUCCAAACUGGAUUGUUACACAAGCAAGUUGACCAGCAUUUAUCGAAGGAGAAGUUACAGGACAUAAAAACUUAAGAUUAAUGGCUGCCAAUGACCAGAAUCCAGAUACCAUCUCAAUGCAGAGAGCUUGCGUUCUCAGAGCACUUUCUGUGUAUCUCAGUGAAGACUACAAAAACCUCAUAAAAGAAUAUGUAGAUGCAGACUUUGAGAAUGCCGAGAGACACAUGUCCAGUACAGUCGUUGGAAUUUACAUCAUCGGAUGUAAAGAUGCAGACGUCUCUUGCCCACCUUCGGAUGUUGGAGCCAUUGUUUGGGAGUGAAAGUUCUUCACGAUCUUGGAGAUGUCACCAAGCCUUGUGCUUUUCUUUUGGGAGUCAUAUACAGCCUGAAUCUCAGCUAUCCAUCAGAACCUUGGAGUUCUUUCAGAAAGUGUUGCUGGGACUUGAUACACAGAAACUUUUACACAAAAUAAAGAUUGUUGAUGAAUCGGUACUAUUUCCAAGAAUGCGGUUUUAAGAAUUAGGGGCCUGUUUUAAUAUUAACGUUGUUGUUGAUAGAUGCCAGUUUUAAUGUUUACUUUACCAAUGGCUCCAAACAUCUUAAAUGAUUAAAAUUGAAUGCUGCAGCAUUUUGUGCCAUGCUGUCUGACUUUUCAUUUUGUUGCUUUUCACAAAAGUAAACUUUGUAAUUGCAAUAUUUGAAGGCAUUUGCACAUAAUUUUGUAGUUGUGGGAAAGAAUGUUUCAUAUUUACCUGAAUGCUGUUGUUUACCAAACUGUGAUUUUUGUCUGUUACAAGAUUGUUUACUAUUGAAAUGAUGCUGUGGUUGAAUUGUUUUAAAGCACAUAUGUCUGGGGAGUAUUGCAGGACCUUGCGAAAAAUAAAUGUUUUGUUUCUGGAAA